rnacentral:rRNA from 1 species
CCUACGGGUGGCAGCAGUGAGGAAUAUUGGUCAAUGGACGAGAGUCUGAACCAGCCAAGUAGCGUGAAGGAUGACUGCCCUAUGGGUUGUAAACUUCUUUUAUAUGGGAAUAAAAUGUUCCACGUGUGGGUUUUUGUAUGUACCAUAUGAAUAAGGAUCGGCUAACUCCGUGCCAGCAGCCGCGGUAAUACGGAGGAUCCGAGCGUUAUCCGGAUUUAUUGGGUUUAAAGGGAGCGUAGGUGGAUUGUUAAGUCAGUUGUGAAAGUUUGCGGCUCAACCGUAAAAUUGCAGUUGAUACUGGCAGUCUUGAGUACAGUAGAGGUGGGCGGAAUUCGUGGUGUAGCGGUGAAAUGCUUAGAUAGCACGAAGAACUCCGAUUGCGAAGGCAGCUCACUGGACUGCAACUGACACUGAGGCUCGAAAGUGUGGGUAUCAAACAGGAUUAGAUACCCCUGUAGUC